ACACAGAAAAGUCUUGUAGAAGAAGUUUGUUCUGAAGAGAUUCAAGUGUAGAGAGGGAGGACCCUUGGCAAAAGUUUGGAAAGGCACUCCAUACAACAGUAGCAUGGGUGAAGUGACAAGAGGAAUAGGCAACCAGGAAGAUGGAGAGAUACAAGCAUGUGCACAGACAUGUAAGGAUCCGAGAGGAUGAGGAACUUGCACUUAAUGAAAUGAUGUUUACAAGGAUCUUUUCAACACCGGAAAUACUGAUUAUACAGAGAAAACAGUGAAAGUGACAACAUGCAACACUGCUGUCAAAUACAAGCAGAGGCGCUCGGCAUGAUUGGACCCCAUAUGAACACAACUGCUGUGUUAUUUGGAAACCCAGUUGACAAAGAGAACGUGGGAUUUUAUCUUGUGCUUCAGGGGCAAAUUGGAGAACUACAGCAUUUACUGAAGAUACAACCUGCACUUG